GAGGUUGAUUUUCUUAAUGGAAAAUAACCACGAAAAGUUAUAGAAAUUAAUUAAAAUAUGCUUGCCAUAGCUGGCCAAGAUUGAUGGGAGUGCCAGGGUAUUUUUCUUCUUGGUAGACUAAGCUAGCUUUAACAAGUAUUUUCACAGCGACACAGGUUCUCAAAUUCCAUAUAUUGAGAAAAGUUAAAUUAAAACCGAUAACAAACCUGUGUGAGCAUACAUAUCUCAAAGUUGUCAACUCAAACACUCUUCUGAAGAAGCUCAAAACAUUGAACAAAAUUUGGGAAAAGACACUUCUUCUUGAUGCACUGGAAAGGCUUAUAGAAGGUGAAGAGGUCCAACGUCGUUAUUAUGGGAUUAAUUAAAAAUAAAUCUGUGAUUAGACUUUUCGUUAAUUAAUGUUGAAACAUUCUUUAUGGCUUACUGAAACGUGUUUUAGCAUUAUCUAACUAUUAUGCUCUGGCCAUUAGAAAGUAUUUGGAAUUUUGGUCAUAGUCAUACGCUCUUAGUUGUA
rnacentral:lncRNA from 1 species